rnacentral:lncRNA from 1 species
UUCAACGGAACCAUUCCUCAUCAGUUGGGAAAUCUCUCGAGCCUGCGUUAUCUGGACCUUUCUGAUAACUAUGGUUCGAAGGUCGAGAAUCUCAAAUGGCUCUUUGGUCUUUCUCAGUUGAAACAUCUUGACAUGAGUUAUGUAGAUCUUACCAACGCAUCUCAUUGGUUACAAGUAAACACACUCCCUUCUCUGCUGGUCGAGUUACAUUUGUUUGAUUGUGAACUUUAUCACAUGCCAAGUGGUAUUGCGAACUUGACAAGUCUUAAAGUUCUUGAUCUGUCCUACAACUAUUUCAACUCUACCAUACCGCAAUGGUUACAAGUAAACACACUCCCUUCUCUCCUGGUCGAGUUGCACUUGUCGGAUUGCAAUCUUUAUCACAUACCAAGUGGUAUUGCGAACUUGACAAGUCUUAAAGUUCUUGAUCUAUCCAUAAACUAUUUCAACUCUACCAUACCUCAAUGGUUGUACAGUUUGAACCAUCUUGAGUCCCUUGAUCUUUCUGUCAAUGCUUUCCAUGGUGAGAUUUCGAGUUCCCUUGGAAACUUGACAGCCCUUGUUGAUCUUCAAUUACAUCAUAAUCAGCUUGAAGGGGAAAUCCCAAACUCAUUGGGAAAUCUUUGUAAGUUGACUUCUUUUGAUCUAUGGUCAAACAAUUUCCGGGGGAGGGUAUCAGAAAUCUUUGAAAUUUUGUCUAGCUGUAGUAAUUUUGGUCAAAUAGAUUAUUUACAUCUUUCGGAUAAUAAUUUUUCAGGUCAUUUAUCUGAUCAACUGGGAUUUUUAAAAAAUUUACGCAUCCUUGAUCUUUCAAAUAAUUCAAUAUCGGGCCCCAUUCCAGUGUCUUUAGGAAAUCUAUCACGUUUAGAGGAGUUGAUCAUUUCUGACAAUUCAUUCGAAGGCCCCAUUCCAGUAUCUUUAGGAAAUCUAUCAAGUUUAGAGGUGUUGAUCAUUUCUGACAAUUCAUUCGAGGGGGUUGUCUCUGAAGCUCAUUUUACUAAUCUUACAAGCUUGUUUACCUUUUAUGCAAAUGAGAACUCCUUGACUCUUAAAACUAGCCCAGACUGGGUUCCUCCUUUUCAACUUUCUACGUUGGGUUUAAGUUCUUGGCGUCUGGACCCAUCACAGUUGCCUGCAUGGCUUCAGAGUCAAAAACAUUUGUUCGCUCUUAAUAUGUCCAAUACAGGAAUUUCUGGUACCAUUCCGGCUUGGUUGUGGAACAUUUUUUCUGUUGAAAACAUGGGUCCAGGUAUCUUUGUGGAUCUCUCUCAUAAUCAAUUGUCCGGGGAGGUUCCAAAUAUAGCUUCUACCCACAGGCCAAAACAAAAGCAUUUGGAAUUUGUUUAUCUUGCCAUUGACUUAGGAUCUAACCAAUUCAACGGUUCAUUGCCUCUUGUGUCUUCGACAGUGAUUGCACUAGAUCUUUCCAAUUCAUUAUUUUCUGGAACUCUCUCUCACUUCUUUUGUGAUAGGAGUGAUGUACCUAAAAACCUUCAAACUCUUCUUCUUGACAACAAUCUCCUCACUGGAGAAAUUCCGGAUUGUCGGUUACACUGGCCAAACUUGACAGUAGUGAAUUUAGAAGACAACAAUUUGACGGGGAAAAUUCCAAGCUCUAUCGGGGACUUACUUUCCCUUCAAUCAUUGCACUUGCGCAAUAAUAACCUAUAUGGAGAAUUACCCGUGUCCCUACAAAACUGUCAAGAGUUGCUCCUUCUUGACCUUCUUGGAAAUAAGUUUGUUGGAAGCAUUCCGAUAUGGUUUGGCCAAAGCUUGGUGGUUCUUAUUCUUCGCUCAAAUAUGUUCCAAGGCACCAUUCCUCAUGAACUUUGUAGUCUCACAAAGCUCCAAAUCUUGGACCUUGCGCAUAACAAUCUCUCGGGAACGAUACCAAGAUGUUUCCAAAAUUUGUCAUCCAUGGCCACUAAAUUUUCAAGUGAAGAAGCUCCCAGUAUUGAAUUCUCCGUUUCUUCGGUUACUGGUAUGAAUACUUUUCAGCUCUCCUACUCCUACACAGAGAAUGCGGUUUUUGUGGCCAAAGGCAGAGAAGUGAAAUAUGACACAGUGCUUCGUUUGGUAACUAGCUUGGACCUUUCAAGGAACAUGUUAUUUGGAGAAAUCCCUGAAGAGUUGACCAACCUCACUAGCCUACAAACAUUGAAUUUAUCUGAUAAUCUUCUGGCCGGAAGAAUCCCUUCCAAAAUCGGUGAUAUGGGAGCGUUAGAGACGCUUGAUUUGUCUGUGAACCAACUUUCUGGCGAAAUUUCUCCAAGCAUCUCGAAUUUAACAUUUCUCAAUCAUCUAAAUUUGUCCUAUAACAAUCUGAUUGGGCAAAUUCCAAAAAGCACUCAGCUUCAGACCUUUGAUUUGUCCAGUUAUGUUGGCAAUAAACUUUGCGGACCUCCACUGGAAGAGCGUUGCAGUACAAAUGAGGCCAUGCCACCAGUAGGUGAUGAGAAGCAGAGAGAAGGUCAUUUUCUUGAAGACGGUGGUUUCUAUCUGAGUUUGGGGCUUGGUUUUGCAUUUGGGUUUUGGAUUGUUCUUGGUUCAUUGUUGUCUAAUGUGCCAUGGAGCAAUGCAAUUUCUCAGUUCCAAAAUCGCAUUGUGAAGAAGUUUUAUGCGGCAAUCGCUGAACGUUAUUAACUAUUUUGUGCAGAUAAAUCGAGUAUGUGUGAUUUGUUUCUACUCUUUUGCUAUCCAAUUAGAAUGUUACACUGUUGUAUGCUUCUUUGUACCAAUUUAUUUUAUCUUUUCCUUGGUUUUUUCUUUGGCCAUAUAAAAUUGUAAGAUUUGCUUUAUAAUUUCUGUGAUAAUUUUUAAAUUUAUUUUGUGAGUAUAUGAUAUGUUAAUCUUAUGUUGAUUCACACAGUUGUAUUCCUCUUUAGUAUGUUUGAUUUUCUAUUGGAAAGCAAGAUUUAAUUUCAACUAGAAAUUACGCCCGCGCGUUGCUGCGGGAACCAGCUGUUUCAGAUGUAAUCAGAUGGAUAAAACACAUUUAAAUUGAAUAAAUUCAAGACAAUUACGAACAAACAGAGGGAUACAUGAGUGGGUGAGGCCGGUAAGAUAAGCAGUUUUGCUUUUAACACAUUUAAGUGAGUUGGCAUAUAAACAUAUUAUAUGGGAAAGUGUCUAAUUAACAACUACUAAUCAAACUGCAAAAGCAACAUAUGAGUUUUUCUGGGUUCAAAGUUCAAACACAGAAUAGAACCAACAGAGUCAAAGGUCUUCAUAUGCAUUAUGAGAAAAAAAAACCUCAUUACGGUAUAAAAAAUCAUAACUUAAAGCUAAACCCAAAAAAGUAAGAGACAAACAAUUGAUGUUCCUUAUUAUGUCCAUCUAAGAGAUGGGCCAGUAAAAUUUGUGAAGAAACACCUGCUGGUUUGUCCAACAUGAGAAGAUAUAAAGUUCUCAUUGACGAUUCAUUACUUGAGUGGUUUAUUUAUUUAAGUGAUUUCUAUUUUGUUAAGAAAAUGAUACCGCCAUAAAAAAAAUGGAGUUUUAACGAAAAGUCCACGGUACUGUUCACUUUAACGAAAAACCACAUUUUUACACUAAAAAGUCAAACUUGAUACUAUUCAUUUUACCCUUUAUUUUGUCCUUAUCAUUAAAACUCCAAGUUUUCAAGCUCUUUUCAUUAGUUUUCCUUAAAAAAAAUAGAAAUACAUAACAGUUCAAUCAAAUCAUUUUUUUAUGUCCUAUACUAACUGGUUGAAGAUGCCCGAAUCAAAACAAAAUGGAUAUCUGCAAACUUGCUUGCUCUAAGGACAACGAUUUCCAACUUUAGUAGAAUCACAUCCAACUCUUAUCAAUUACUUCUGAAAUAGUAAAAAACCAUGAAAUUGUGCAGUCACUAAAGACCUAAAUACUGAAAUCACAAAAGAAAAACAACCCAAUUCAUAAAUUAAUGAUUGAAAGGAUAUAAUCCUACCUGAGGACCCUCAGAUCACUUGAAAGUGUAUCCCAAGUGUGAAGGCUGUCAGCGAAAUUGAACUCCUGCCAUUUUGAAUUUGAUAAAAGCAUUACUUGUGAAGUACGCGUUCGUGCAUGUCCUAUAGAUCUACCCGUUGUUGAUUGGAAAUUGAAAACUGAUAUUCGCAAGAAACAGCAGCUUAAUUACAGUAUUGAUUUCGAAGUCUGUAUAUUUUGUGGUUAAGAGGAGGGUGAUCCACUUAAAUGCAUAAAAUUGGGGAUUGACCUGUCAUUUAAAAUUUUAGCCCAGUCAGUCCUGUAUAAAGAAUUCUAGUGACCUAAAUAUGAUAUUCUCAAAUAACAUUGAAACCUUAACGUGUUAAAUAUUUAAGUAGCAUUUUACUAUUUAUAAGGCUGUCGACAGGUGACACAUAAUAAUUCUCGUCUUGGAAAAAUUAUUAAUUUUGAUCAAAUCUCUAAGGAGAUAGGUAAUAAGAAAGUGCUAGGAAGUCACUGGAUAAGCUUGAACCCCGGAACAAUCUAGCUAAAUAGUAUCCGGUGUCAUUCCAUGCCAUACCAAUGGCAUACUAAUGCAUGUAUCCUCUUCAAUUACAUUUACAUAAAUGUGUUGUGGCAUACUAUGUCAUGUUUUAUAUAAAUUUAAUCCUCCAAUUUAACACGGUCACCAAAAAAAUAUAUUGGAGAAUCAAAUUGAAAAAUCCAACAUAACCCAAAUUUACAUUAACAGACAAACAGAUGCUACAGUAAAGUAAAAGAGAGCCAAGAACGGAAUUUUACUUUAUCUAUGCCGAUAACCGUUUGCGAACGAAACAAAUACCAAUUGGAAUGCAAAAAAUAAUGAAGUGAAAUAAGCACAUGGAAGUGUUAUUUAUAAUGAAGUGAAAUUAUCCACUAUGGUUUAUUUGACAUAUGGAUAAUUUCGUCUAAGAAAGAGAAAUAAGUAGCGUCAAGCACAGUAAAUUACCAUCUGUUUGUAUCUCAAAAGUUCACAAGUGUCCAGUUGCCUCUUUGCUGGACCCAACUCUAUCCGUCUCACUCUACUUGCAAAGUUCAGUGAGCAAAAUGUCUCACUCACACCAUUUUCAUUAGGACUUAUUUGAACAAACAUGAGUGUCUUCGAGUCUCCUCCUAAAACAACGAAUGAUAUUCAUUAGUUUAAGUUUCAUCCAAGAAACCAGAGAAUAAAAUAAAAAAUAUGAACUUGGAAUAUUAAACAACUCAGAAUAAGAAUUGUUGAUUCUUCUGUGAUCCAAAUGAAGUACCUAGAGAGUCUUGAAGCAAGUGGGUAAGCUUCGAGUUCCUGCACAUAACACAUAAUUUAGUAAAAGAAAGUAAUAGCUGAAUACAUCAGGUGGCAACUUGGCCAAUAUAAACAAAGAACUAUUCAUUAAACAUAAAGGUAUGUGUGAGCUUUUAGUUGCAAGUGCAGAUAUGACAUCACCAAGGGAAGACAGAGACCUAUUUAUGUUUUGAGUUUCCUUGAGUCGUUCUCCUUGCAUUACUGCCAGUUUGCAGAACUUCCCAGACUUCACUCAUGUUGUUUACAUGUGCCUCAACCAGACCUGGAACAUGAUGUAUCCCCUCACCGAGUUGUCUUAUUUCUAGCCUACAAAUUAUCGCAAUACUGUGAAAUGCUAUUAUCUUGAAAUGAUCCCAUAACGUCCCAUCCUUCGCACUUGUGAAGACAUGGAACAUCAUGAGAACUGAACAGAAAGUCUCAUGUUUUAACAAUCAUGCAGCAUCCCACUCAUGGCAUAAUUGUUUGUGGGAUGACACAACUGGAGUCUAUUUCUACAGAACCCAUGAAACUAAACAAUCCAAAAUUAACAGAUUACACUGACAACAUUCCAACAAAAGAAAGAAGACCAAAAAUAUUAUGUAUUCUAAAGUAAUUUAGGGAGCUGAAAUAGCAAAAACCCACCUAAUUCUAAACCUAAGUAAAACCUUCAAUUAAACCCCAACUACAAACCUGAAUUAAACCUUCAAUUAAACUCCAAAUUAAACUAUUAAUAAAACCCAAAUUAAAUCAUCAAUCAGGAAAGAUAAAAAUACAAAAGGGGAUUUAAGAGGUGUACCUGGAGUGAGUGAGUGAGUGAGUGGGCGAGUGAUGCGGCGACUGUGAGAGUCUGAGAAUAACACAGAGAUGGGAUGUUUAGCACCAAACAAAAAAACUAUAAAAAAUUGUGUUCCUUCCAUACAGUACUACGCUUCUAGCAACAAAUAUAGAAUAAAGUACAAAUCUGAAAGAGUGCCGAAAUUACUGCAUACGGAAAGUCCACCAUUGUUGAACAUCUCCCUGCAAAGGUAUGUAUGAUAUAUAUGAUGCAUGCGUAUCAAAUAGCAUCAGCAUGUUUCUAAUUAGUAUGAUAGUCAGAUAGUCAGAUUGUUAGUUUAGGAGAAGAUUAUUGCCCAAUCAACAGGUAGAAUCAAAGUAUGAAUAUAUUCAGUUAAUAUUACAGUACAGAUUUUGCAUCCCAAGAUAUGUGGUUCUUAUAGAUUCAUGAAAUAAAUGUUGAGAGUAUCGCGUUUAAGAAUGGGAAAAGGCAUAUCUAAACUAAUUAAGGGUUACAUAUAUAUGGAUUUCAGACUCUUAAGAAGGUGAAAAGGCAGAAAACAAAAGAAUAAUGACUUCAAUUAAGAAUUUAGUAGUGUACAAACUAUCACAAACGAAAGGAGCAACAUUUGAUUUCAAAAAGAUUUCAGGGAUAAUAAAACCCAUUGAGGGAACACAUAUACAGGUUAAAAGGGCAUAAGCGAUGGCACAACAUGAGUCCGUAACAUCAUUCAGAAGUCAAUCAUAUGACAAACUACAAACCUAAUUAAAUCCAAAAACAUGAAAAUGAAAAUCGCAAACACAGCAAAUCCAUUAGUUAAUUGUCCAGUCCCCCAAUUUAACUAUUGUUACAUGCAUGCGAUCAAAUUAGACCUGGGAAGUGGGAAACAUGCAUAAUCAUUAAGCACUGAGUUGAUUGCAGGGCAAGCAAGCAUCAAAUUAGAAUCACUAUAUAACAUCGUUAAUUUAAACCAAUUUUAAAUGACUAAAACCUUUCCUCCAUACAUCUUAAUAAAUUAAGUUUUUUUUUAUAUUUCUGGUGUAUUUUGAUUUUCCCUCUCUUUGUAUGAUUUGAGCUCUAGUAGAACAUGCUUUGUUAUACAUUAGAUAAGUCUGCUAAAAAAGAGGAGGCUAGAGCCUAGAAACACUUAUAAAGAAGAUAUUUCAUAACGUUUCCAUGUUGAGCUAUGACCAAGGCAGAGUUAGACUCAUAUCAGGAUCACUACAGGUUCUGGGAAAGGAUUGCCAAAAGAAUGCACGCAUAACUUCUCCUACAAUUACCUAAGCAUCCUAUUAAUAUACUUAACAUGGUACACAGACUUUACAAUCAAGAAAACGAAGAAUGCAACAGUUGUAAGGUCUUGUUUCUUAUCAAAAUAGAUCCCUCUUAAGAAAUGGACUUAUAUGCACUAAAUUUGAAUACUAAUCAGGAGAUACAUAUGAAUAGAGUUACAAAGGUCCUAAAUCCUUAUCCCAUGACCCCAUUUUCUUUCCCAAAAUUUCCAGCCAACCAAACAGACGCCAACCUAACCCUAAUCAGCAAAUUUCUCAAUCAAACACCACUCAAUCACCCAUCAAAAACCAAGGAAAUUCAAGAAAAACGAAGAAUGCAAUAGUUGUAAGGUCUUGUUUCUUAUCAAAAUAGAUCCCUCUUAAGAAAGGGAAUGAGACAAUUCUGAGAGGCAACUGCUGGGUAAGAGUACAAAAUUGCAUGCCUUCCAUUUUAAAGUUCAAAAUUUUCAUUUCUAUUCUGAAGAUCAAUAUUAUGUAUCUUCUCAUUUUUUCAUGCAUUUAGAUACCUUUUGAGAGAAAGUCCCAUGCUAUUUUAUUUCCAUUUUGUGGUGUUCUAAUCUUUCAAAAGUACUCCACACAUGCAACGCUUCUUCAAAAGUGGAAAAAGCAGGGAAACCACGCACGCAGUCUGAUUUUAAAGUAAGUUUGAAAGUCAUUAUACCUCCUGUUAGUUUAUCCUAUCCUCACUUGGGCUCCAUAUGGAAAGAUUUUCUUGACAGUUCCUUCUACAAGCGUUCCCUCCUUAAGGUAUAACAGUUCCUAAAACAUUAUAUGGCAAACCAAUGUCAGUUCUUAUGAAAAAUAAGAUCACAGAAUCUCAGAACAAACAAGGAGAGAACAUUGCAAGCAACAAAAAACAUGAAUAAAUCAAAUGUCGAAGUCCAACCGACCCAAGCUUCUUUCUCACUCAAUACUAAGUCAUUCUUAGCUUCGUCUAUUUGAGUAAUCUGCACAUGCAUCCGGCAACUCACCUACACCAUUAGGAAACAACAUGUGUAAGAAGCAAACUAACAAAUCAAACAUAUGCAACUAAGGGAGGAAAAGGUUAAACAAUGAAAAGUUGUUAGUUGAGGUAAAUCAUACUCCACAAUGAAAAUUAGUAAAGAUUAAAGUACAAAACAAUUGAGGUAAAUCAUAUACUCCAGAACGAAAAAAUUUAAGAAAUACAAACUUAAAAUAUUACCCAUCACGCUAGCCGCUUCUUCUAACCCACCAAUUGCUAAAUGUUAAAUUUCUUGAACUACACAACCUAUGACAAAUACCUGAACAGUAAGGGUGCGUUUGGUACGUGGGACGGGACGGGACGGAACGGAACGAGGCGUUCCGUCCCGCGUUUGGUGCGCUAAAAAUGGGUGGAACGGGUUGUUCCACGGGACAGAUUUUGGGUGUUUUUGCGUUCCACCUCUCCCCCCUGGAACGGGUUUGUUCCACGUCUGUGGAACACAAUGUUUUACCAUUUUAAGACAAAUAUACCCCAUGUCUUUUUCAAAAAUUACACCUUCGUUCCGUCCCGUCCCGUUCCGUUCCGUCCCGUCCCGUCCCGUUCCGUUCCGUCCCGUCCGCGUACCAAACGCACCCUAAGAGAACAAUGGACAUUCAUUGUACUCAAUCUGCAUUUAUCCCAGAACCAAGAAAGUUAUGAAGAAACAGAAAUGAAACUGUACAGCAGGUAUACAGCAGGGAACAAACACUAUGAAACUGGCACUCAAGUACUGUAAGGAAUAUCAGAUUAGCAUUCAUCUAACCAGAUCUUCUAGCUACUAACAAUUAGUUGUUAAAACCCUAACACUAAUCAAGCGAUCCUACACAUAUAUCUAGCUUUCUUCGCAUCCUGCCAGUAAUAAAUUGCAUUCAAGCGCGUAGUAGCAGCUUGCACAAAUAAACAGUUUAAGUAUGAUAAACAGAAAAAGGAAACGGAAACAUGAAAACAAAUGGAAUAAGCAGUGUCAUAAAGAUGCGAUAUCUGACCAUGUAAAUAAGUGUUCUUGAGUGACAUUACCAGUAGAUCAGUGAGUUCACGAUAGAGCUUCUCUAGCUCCAUGUGUUCCUGCAAAAUGGAAAAUAUAACCCAUAAAUAACAUAGUGCUCAAUAUAACCUAGUAAAACUCUUCAUAUGAAGAUAUACAAAAGGAGAGGAAGCAGAUAUCACUUGGCGCAAGGAAUGCUCUGCAUCCCUCUUCAUGGAAGCCAUCUCAACUCUCAUUUUUUGGACUUCGGCCUGAAAUCGAGCAUUUCAAGGAGGUUGUUUGACAAAGCAAAAAAUUCAGAACGCAAAGCUUCAAAUUGAUAAUAACAACACUGUUGGGCAAUAAACAGAGGGCACUUACCUCAAAGAAGAAAGCUUGACCUAUGCAUCCCUCUGACCUUGGCGUGCACGGUCCACUUCUUCCUCCCAUGCCAUAGUCGUACACUAAUCCAAAUUAUACAAUCCUCAACUACGCACUUCCCUUGACUUCUCCAAUCAGAUUAUGGUCAGUCAUUCACUUUCGACAUAUCAAUAGAGCAUGACCAAUCUAGUUCACCCCAAUAGUUCCUCUUCCUGUAUAGGAUAAUGCAUGAUAAUAAUAUGGCAACAUGAAAUUGCCCUCAAUUUUUUCUAAAUUUACUACCUUCUUCAACCAAAUAAAACCUAUUGUCUCCUCAAAUAUCAUAAGAUUAACAAUUAAAUGUUCAAACUUCAACUUCCCCUAUAUUCCCUUCCUCUUUACGCAGUAACCCAAUUGAAAAUUUGAAACCUCCCAUCCGAAAUACAAAACCAAAAAAAAAAAUCAGAAAGGAAACAAUACGUGCACAUAGCAAAUUUGAUUAAAAUACAGAAACGAAUCACAAAUUCCCACUUAAAACAAAAUUAGAAGAGAUGGCAAUCUAUAAAAAUCAAUAAACAAAAAAUUGAGCAAAAGGGUAGUGAAAACUCACCUCCAUCUUCGAGAUUUUCCUGCCUAAACUGCUAGGGAACGUGGUCCGAAGCUUUAGCAUAAGCAGACUUGAAGUGUCUCUGAGCUUUCAAUCUUCCGGAAGAGAGAGGUGGUGCAGCGACGACCUUGGUGCCGUGAAGGAAGGUAGGCGCGGUGGCGGAAAUAGAGAGGAGUUCGGCGGAGGAGGGGAUCACAGCCGUCGGAAUUGUGGUGGCGUCGACUGUGAUUAUGGUUUUGACUUCGGGCAACUGUCGGAAGAAGAGGGAGGGAGUCGAACCCUAGAUCGGUGGCGGUUCGGCUGGUGUAGCGAGACCCCCGGUUGUAGAAAAGCUCCGAAGCGCUCGUCAUACACACCAAACGCCUUGUUUUUUCACCUUGUCCUCCUCGAAACGUGUCUAUUUGUGUCGGAUUUUUUGACGAAUUUACAGUGAUGGAUGGUUACAGAAAGAGUCGGAGAGGAAAAGAGGGAAAGAAAAGGGGAUGGAAACGGAGUCGAAGCAAUGCAAGACGAUUGACACGUUGGCGCCCUUCCAUUGUGCAAAACGGUGGCACUUUUGUAAAUAAAUUGAAAUUAUCAAUCUGAACGGCAGGCCGAGGCGAUGGUAAUUUUGUAAAUAACUCAAAAUCCAUCUCAAAUGAAUAGUGCCAAUUGAAGGAAUUGGAUUUCCUCCUGAACAAAUGAUGGGAUCUCUCAUGAUCACACAACACGGAUCGUUGAAUAUAAUUAUUAUAAUUUUUAGAACAAUCUCCUAUUUGUAGCCGUUAGAUCAAAAUCUAACGAUCUGUGUUGUGUGGUCAUGAAGAUCCCCACCAAUUGUUCAGGAGGAGAUCCAAUUCCCCAAUUGAAAACGUUACUUUAUACUAAAGUAAUAUUAUAACAAUAAUAAUAUUUUUUCUUCCAACGAUUAGGACCUUAAACCGAAAUUAGGUUCUCGAAAAACAGCUCCACUCCAGUUGGCUUGAAUAUGACCCAAAAAGAUAUACCCCAUUGUGAAGAGUGAGGAGAAAAAAAAUUUCUAGUUUGAACACAUUAAGUCCUGCUCGCCCGCACAAAUAAGUUCUUCGAAAUUCUCUCGUUUCUCUCCAGCAACAAAACCCAAAAUUGGCUAGCACACUCACAUUUCCUUCGCAACACUAUCUCAGUCGUAGCUUUAGAACUGUAGAACAAUGGAGACACGGGACUUUCACUGUUAUCCUCAGCUUUAGAACAUUAUACACCAUCAUGGAGACAAACGGGCGCGUAUUCUUGUCCUUAUAGUCAUAUCAUAGGUUUUGACCCUCCAUGAGAAACCAAUGAAGCAGCUAACCAAGAAAAAACUAAACCAAUAAAGAGAGAUGGAUUGUUACAUAAAACGAGAAGCUGCCGCAUGGUUAUAAACUCCAUCUUCUACAUCUGAUCUAACCAGAUACAAAUGUAAAUGCUUCGACAAAGACAACCAAGAAGCAGUGGCGGAUCCAGACUUUUAUCAUUGGGUGGUCCCAGUAUUGGAGUUGAACGGGAAGAGUUCGGAUCUCUCCCAUCAAAAGCCACGAUCAAGUGAUCCGGACCGUUGAAAUUUGAUCCAACGGUUACAAACAGGGGGCUCUUCUAAAAGUUAUAAUAAUUGUAGCCGUUUGAUUAAAUUUCAACGGUCCGGAUCAUUUGUUCUUGGGCCUUUGAUGGGAGAGAUCCGGACCCGAUCUCUUCCCGAGUUGUACUAUUUGAAAUAACAUUGUUUAAACUAAUCGAGUAUGAUUUUCAUGUAUUAUGUCGUACCAUGUUCUUAAUUUCUACACAUUCAAUUAUUAAAACAAAAAUUCAUAUAAAUUAAUGGAGAUAAAAACAUAUGUAUAUUUGUUGAAAAACAAAACAUAUAUAUAGAAAUUAACCAUCACAUGAUCAAAUCAAUAUAAAAAAAUCAUAUAUUACAAUCCAAGCACUAACUAGUAUAUAUUAGGAAUCUAACAAUUUUAUCCGAUACACAUCAAUUUAAUAGCAUUCUAUUUUGGACUAAAAUUAGAAAACUUAUUUAAAUUUAGACAUUAGGACAGUAUUAAAAUAACAAAAAUAAAAUUAAGAAAUGAAGCGGUGUUUGAGAGGAGAGAGGUGGACAGGUGAUGGCUUGGUCAUAUGCGGUUAGAACGAAAAAGGAAACUGGGGAGAGAGGAAAAAGGGAUUGGGCAUUGGGAUUACCGAUUAGGGUCUCUUAUAUAAAAUAUUAAAAUGGGAAUUGGGCUCACACAUUCAUUUUAAUUGUAUUGGACUCAAACGGUGCGUUUUGGCCGAUUCAGUUUAACAAGAAAACAACCUUCUUCUUUCUUUUUCAUCUGCAGUCUGCAGAGAGUCACCGCUGCAUAUCUCCCCUCCGCAAAACUCCAGGCCGUUGGGUGGUCCUGAGACCACCCUAGUCCCUGAAUGGAUCCGCCUCUGCCGUUGGGUGGUCCUGGGACCACCCUAGUCCCUGAAUGGAUCCGCCUCUGCCAAGAAGUGAGCUCCCCCAAUUUCCAAAUCAUUCAAAUCUUUCCUGAAACCAUCUCAGCUCAAUGGAAUGGAAGUUCUUACAAAUCUAGAAAUGGGACUCUUAUCCGUGAAAAUUCUAUUUUUGAAGGGCUUAGACUCGAUCUCCUCACAACAGAAUUUGCAUCCCAUCUGUGUUUAUGUAACCCAUACUGGUUUUCAAUAUAAACAUUCAUAAAGGAUCCCUUUCUUAAGGAAAUAGCGGUUGACGCUUAGCUAGAAGAUAUACUUAUUUUCCACCUUCAUCUAGUUAAGUUGAAUUAUCACUUAUUAAGUUAUUGUGCCAAUUUUUUUCAACUCCUGAAUUCAGGACUCGGUUUGAUUGCAGUAUUGGGUGUAUUUUUAUUCAUGCGUUAAACAUCUACAUUUUGUGUUCGUAGUAGAUUCUCUUCUAACUAGGGAUUAUCAAUUUUUCGUCAUUGAAACUUAGUUUAAGAUUUUUUUUUCUUAUGAUUUCAUCACUUUUACUUCAGCAUGCUAGUCGUCACAACUUCUGGAAUUGGGUUUAUUCAUGGAAGUGGCCAUGCCAUUGAUUUUGCUGGACUUUGUUGCACAUGUGCUGGUACCAUGAUGGUUGCAGCAUCUGCUAAUUCCUUAAAUCAGGUUUGUGUGCCCCUUGUUAUUCGGCUCUUUUUGGGCCUGGCUUAUUGUGUAGAUGAAAAUAUUUUUUGAAUGGCACGGUCUUUUGUAAUGGUGAAAGGUAUAGAAAAGCGAAGCAAGAGGCGAAGAAAGCUGUCAGAGAAGCUAAGUUAGCGGCUUACGACGAUAUGUAUAAACGACUAGAUACCAAAGAAGGAGAGUUAGAUAUCUAUAAACUAUCUAGAGCAAGGGAAAAGAAGACAAGGGACCUAAACCAAGUGAGGUGCAUCAAGGAUGAGGAUGGAAAGGUUCUUGCUACAGAGAACGCGGUUAAAGACAGAUGGAGAGGUUAUUUUCAUAAUCUUUUCAAUGAAGGACAUGAAAUGAGUGCUUCUUUAGGGGAGUUGAGUAACUCAGAAGAGUGUAGAAACUACUCUUUUUAUCGUCGAAUCCGGAAGGAAGAAGUGGUUGUAGCUUUGAAGAAGAUGAAGCAUAGAAAAGCAAUAGGCCCAGACGAUAUACCAAUCGAAGUGUGGAAACUUUUGGGAGAGACAGGUAUAACAUGGCUCACUGACCUUUUCAAUAGGAUUUUGAAAACGAAGAAGAUGCCAAAUGAGUGGCGAAUGAGCACUUUGGUGCCUAUCUACAAGAAUAAGGGCGACGUACAAAAUUGCAUGAACUAUAGGGGUAUUAAGCUAAUGAGUCAUACAAUGAAGCUCUGGGAGAGAGUCAUUGAGCAUAGAUUGAGGCAAGAGACACGGGUUUCGGACAACCAAUUCGGGUUCAUGCUAGGGCGCUCAACCAUGGAGGCAAUCUAUCUCUUACGAAGAUUGAUGGAAAGAUAUAGAGAUGGGAAAAAGGAUUUACACAUGGUCUUUAUAGAUUUGGAAAAAGCGUAUGAUAUAGGGUCCCAAGAGACAUUCUUUUGGAGGAUUUUAGAGAAGAAAGGAGUACGAGUAGCAUAUAUCCAAGCUAUAAAGGAUAUGUAUGAAGGAGCAAAGACUGCCGUAAGAAAACUCAUGAAGGACAAACCGAAAGCUUUCCCAUAACUGUAGGAUUACAUCAAGGCUCAUCCUUAAGUCCUUACCUUUUUGCGUUGGUAAUGGAUGAGUUUAACACGACAUAUUCAAGAUGAUAUUCCUUGGUGUAUGCUUUUCGCAGACGAUAUAGUGUUGAUAGAUGAAACUCAGGAAGGGGUAAAUGCAAAGCUUAACCUUUGGAGAGAAGUGUUGGAAUCUAAAGGUCUUCGCCUAAGCCGAUCAAAGACAGAAGAUAUAAUGGAGUGCAAGUUCAGUGCAAAUGGAGGCCAAAACGAGUUAGGGUGAGGAUCGGAGAUCAAGAAAUACCAAAGAGCGACCGUUUUCGUUACCUAGGAUCUAUCUUGCAAAAGAAUGGAGAAUUAGAUGGAGAUCUCAACCAUAGAAUACAAGCUGGAUGGAUGAAGUGGAAGAGUGCAUCCGGCGUGUUGUGUGACCGCCGUAUGCCACUGAAGCUCAAGGGAAAAUUUUAUAGGACGGCAAUAAGGCCGGGCGAUGCUGUAUGGCACAGAAUGUUGGGCGGUGAAACAUCAACACGUACACAAAUGGGUGUAGCGGAGAUGAGGAUGCUUCGUUGAAUGUGUGGGCACACGAGAAAGGAUAAGAUUAGGAAUGAGGAUAUCCGGGGGGUAAAGUAGGAGUAGCCGAAAUUGAAGGAAAGAUGAGAGAAAAUCGGUUACGGUGGUUUGGACAUGUGCAAAGAAGGCCUACUGACGUUCCGAUUAGAAGAUGCGACUAUGGGACAGAGGUUCAGGGCCGAAGGGGUAGAGGAAGACCUAGGGAAACUUUGGAAGAGACUCUAAGAAAAGACUUAGAGUACUUGGAUCUAACGAAGGACAUGACACAGGAUCGAGCACAAUGGCGUUCUAAGAUUCAUAUAGCCGAUCCCACUCAGUGACUUGGAUUUUCCAAGUCUCCAACCGAGAAGUUUUCCUCACUCGGGAAAUUAAGGGAACACUACCCCAACCUACAUGCUCCACUCAGAAAGCUUCAACAUACAAGCUUUAACAAAAGAAAAUUCAAAGAACUUAGCGAAGAAGGCUUUGGUGUAUUUAACACAAUACGUUGAAAUGAAGGAAAGCUUAUUUAUUGAUAUCCCCGAUAAGCUACAAAUAUGUACAUAUACAUGAGUCAAAAUAAGCACACAAGAGGGAGCCUUCACAAAGGUUGCUUAGGAGAAGUCUCAGCAGUCGGUAGAACCCCAGAAAGAGAAGGCACCGGAGGAGGAUCAUUUGGAGCCUCAGUACUGGACAGAACCCUAGAAGGAGGAGGCAUCAGAGGUUGAUCAUUUGGAGCUUCAUUACGCGGUACAGCUCCAGAAGACGAAGGCAAUAAAUGCCUUUGGAACAAACCCACAAAUCUCUGAUGAUCAAGUAAAACCUGACCAUCAGUUUCCUUCAUCUGGUCAAGCUUCCUCUUCAUGUUUGUAGCAUAGUCAUGUGCGAGCCGGUGCAACUGUUUAUUCUCAUGCUUGAGCCCUCUAAUCUCCUGUUUGAGACUCAUCACUUCAGCCGCCAAUGAUUCAACUUGGCGGGUUCGAGCAAAUAGGCGUUGGGCCAUAUUAGCCACAGAACCUGCACACUGAACACUGAGAGCCAGCGAAUCCUUAACAGCUAACUCAUCAGACCGUUUGGAAAGUAGUCUGUUAUCUUUGGGAGUGAGAAGGUUCCUGGCCACCACCGCAGCGGUCAUAUCAUUCUUCAUCACGGAAUCCCCAACGGUAAGAGGACCAGUAGGGGAGACGAAGGAUGGGCGCCAUAUGUUGUCUGGAGAAGGCGGGGCUGCCUCUUCAACAAGGUUCAAGUCAAAACGACGGUCGGAGGGGCCAGACAUUUUCAAAGGUGUUGAAGAGAGAAGAGGUCGGACAAAUCAAGAUCUUAGAAGUGCAAGAAUGAAGCUUCUACUGGUGGAGAUUCAAGUGUGCUUUGGAACUUAAUGCCAGCCCCUAUAAAAAUCUGCACUCGACGAAGCUUCAGAAAUCGAAGAGGCGCCUGCUCAGAAAUCGAAGAGGCGUUUGCUUUCUCAAAAGCUGGGCUGCUAAGAGAUCACGAGGGUUGAUCUCAGAAAUCGAAGAGGCGUUUGCUUUCUCAAAAGUUGGGCUGCUCAAAGACCACGAAGGCCGAUCUCAAAAAAUCGAAGAGGCGCUCGCUUUCUCAAAAGCUGGGCUCCCUAGAGACCACGAAGGCCGAUCUCAGAAAUCGAAGAGGCACCUACUUUUCCAGCCUUUUCCAGCCUUGUCAGCACCUGUCACGCGCACACUCAGUUUUGCGGAAAUUAUGGGCAUUCUGUCAAAGACUUUUGGGGAAGUAGAAAACACAUGAAUCUUACUGUUCAAUCACACCCACUUCCCACACGCAACAAUAGCUCAUGGGUACCACAGAUAACUUUGCCAAAGUUCUCUGCCAAAGUUGAGCACGUGAAGCUUGCAGCUCCCACUACAUCGCUCUGACCAAGAAGGGUAAAAGAAUAGCAAAGAAACAGCACUAACAAAGUUUAGACCCAUAAAUUUUGAAGGUCUAGCUACCAUAUUAUUACCCACAAGGGUAAAGGAACAGUACCACUGCUGGAUAAUUGGAAAGUCCCUGUGUGUCAACCUCUGUGCUUCGUGGCAAGGUAGACUAGCAAACAUGCCCAAACUUUACUCACAUUCGAGAAAACACUUCCAAUAAGAUUGCUUGCUCCAAAAUCGAAGAGGCACCGUCCUCCAAAUCUUGAGAGCCAGACUCCAAACAUGACUACUUUCUUAAAAAUCGAAAAGAGGGUAAAGGAACAGUACCAUUGCUGGAUAAUUGGAAAGUCCCUGUGUGUCAACCUCUGUGCUUCGUGGCAAGGUAGACUAGCAAACAUGCCCAACCUUUACUCACAUUCGAGAAAACACUCCCAACAAGAUUGCUUGCUCCAAAAUCGAAGAGGCACCGCCCUCCGAAUCUCGAGAGCCAGACUCCCAACAUGAUUACUUUCUCAAAAAUCGAAGAGAGACUGCUCCCCGAAUCUCGAGAGCCAGACCCCCAGCAUGAUUGCUUUCUCAAAAAUCGAUGAGGCAUCGUUCUCCGAAUCAAUCGAAGAGGCGCUCGCUUUCUCAAAAGCUGGGCUGCUCAGAGACCACGAGGGCCGAUCUCAGAAAUCGAAGAGGCACCUACUUUUCUAGCCUUGUCAGCACCUGUCACACGCACACUCAGCUUUGCAGAAAUUAUGGGCAUUCUGUCGAAGACUUCUGGGGAAGUAGAAAGCACAUGAAUCUUACUGUUCAAUCACCCACUUCCCACACGCAACAAUAGCUCAUGGGUACCACAAAUAACUUUGCCAAAGUUCUCUGCCAAAGUUGAGCACGUGAAGCUUGCAGCUCCCACUACAUCGCUCUGACCAAGAAAGGUAAAAGAAUAGCAAAGAAACAGCACUAACAAAAGUUUAGACACAUAAAUUUUGAAGGUCUAGCUACCAUAUUAUUACCCACAACUGUAAAAGGAACAGUACCACUGCUGGAUAAUUGGAAAAGUCCAUGUGUGUCAACCUCUGUGCUUCGUGGCAAGGUAGACUAGCAAACAUGCAAACACCCAACCUUUACUCACAUUCGAGAAAACACUCCCCCAAUAAGAUUGCUUGCUCCAAAAUCGAAGAGGCACCGUCCUCCGAAUCUCGAGAGCCAGACUCCCAAACAUGACUACUUUCUCAAAAUCGAAGAGAGGGUAAAGGAACAGUACCAUUGCUGGAUAAUUGGAAAGUCCCUGUGUGUCAACCUUUUGUGCUUCGUGGCAAGGUAGACUAGCAAACAUGCCCAACCUUUACUCACAUUCGAGACAACACUCCCAACAAGAUUGCUUGCUCCAAAAUCGAAGAGGCACCGCCCUCCGAAUUUCGAGAGCCAGACUCCCAACAUGAUUACUUCCUCAAAAAUCGAAGAGACACUGCUCUCCGAAUCUCGAGAGUCAUACCCCCAGCAUGAUUGCUUUCUCAAAAAUCGAAGAAGCAUCGUUCUCCGAAUCUCGAGAGCCAGAUACCACAGACCACUUUUUCAAAGUGCUCUGACAGAGUUAAAACAUGUGAAACUGGCAGCUCCCACUACCGUGCUAUGACCAAGCAGGGUAAAGGAAUAGCAUUACUACUUGUUGUUAGGGAGACUCCUAUAUAUGUCGACCUCCAUCCCCAACGGACAGGUAGACCUGCAAAAAUGCUCAACCCUUCAUCAGAUUUGAGAGGGCACUCCCAACGAAGCCUUUCGAAAUAUUCAGCUUUCUUUCCCCCCGAUAAUACCUCUGCAAACAAGCUAUACUAGAGCAAAAAUAUCUCAUAUAUCAUCAGGGUUAAAAGCAAGAGUAUCCCAUAUCAUGCUUUUUCCCUGUCUUUUUCUUUUGGCCUUGUUUUUACCUGCAAGAACAAGGAAAAAGAGAGCAAUCAGUCAGCACUUGGAAUCAAGCUUCCAGCCAGGAACUGACUGCCUGGAACCCCUUACCUGAUUACUUACCUGGCAUUGCUCUCGAGUACUCAUCUUCAACAUCUUAUGUUUCCAGGGAAGAUUCCGCAUCUGCUUGAGGAACAGAUAGGGUAAGUGCGAAGGAAGGAAGACAAGCAGCAUGUGGAGACAAGCGUAACAGCACACGUGCCGAUACAUUCAUUACUCUGUCAAAAGCAAAAGUAUCUUAUAUCAGCAGGGUGGAACGUACUCUAGAUUUGAUGGACUUGUUUUGACCCUCAAAUUCUUCAUUCGGCCUUAUACUCUGGAGGAAACCAGAAAACCCUCCAGCUCAGUUCAAGAAUAAGCCUGUGGAAAGUUACUUCUUCAAAAGCAAAAGUAUCUCAUAUCAUCUUCUCAUUUUUCUUCUCUUUAUCCUUCAUGCUGCUGGCAAGAAGGGAGGGAGCUCUGAUUGCUGAUUUACCUUGUCUGUCACCUUUCAUUGCAACCUUAGCUCGGCGACUUGAGGACUCCUACUGAGUCCUACUACAUGGUUUGUAUCGCGCGCGCUUGACCAAGCCUGAAACUACAAGUAAGCUUCAAGUGAAAUUGAUACAUUACCUUGUGCAUCUCCACCAGUUAAAGAUACCACCUGGAUGGAGGAAGAGUACUUCCAGAGAAGAUGCCACAUCUACCUAUGAGACAGAUAAGCAAGUUAAGACGACACCACACCGAAUACUUCAGAAAUUUCGUGAUUACGAGAUCAUUCUCCCAUAAUAUUUCCUAAUGUCAUUUGUACUAAAUCAUUCACUGUAUUUCACUUUAAAUACAAUGAGAGCUUGAACCUAUGUACUUGUGUAAACCCUUCACAAUUAAUGAGAACUUCUUCCUUCGUAAUUAUGACCAAUCUUUCUGAACUUUUCCGCUUAACAUAUCUUGGGUGAACCCGUAUCCAUCUAUACUUUCCUAAUACUUAUCCCCAGUUAAAUACUUAGCACAAUCUAGCGAGAUUCGAAAAGCAUAAAGCGAUCGUUUUCGCUACCUAGGAUCUAUCUUGCAAGAGAACGGAGAAUUAGAUGGAGAUCUCAACCAUAGAAUACGAGCUGGAUGGAAAGAGUGCAUCCGGCGUGUUGUGUGUGACCGUCGUAGGCCACUGAAGCUCCAAGGGAAAAUUUUAUAGGACGACAAUAAGGCUAGCGAUGUUGUAUGGCACAGAAUGUUGGGUGGUGAAGCAUCAAACGUACACAAAUGGAUGUACAGCAAAAUGGAUGUGAGGAGCUUCGAUGCGGGGUGGAUGUGUGGGCACACGAGAAAGGAUAAGAUUGGGAAUGAGGAUAUCCGAGGUAAAGUAGGAGUAGCCGAAAUUGUAGGAAAAGAUGAGAGAAAAUCGGCUCUGGUGAUUUUGGACAUGUGCAAAAAAAGGCCGACUGACGCUCGGUUCGAAGGUACCUGGUACGGGACAGAGGUUCAGGGCCGAAGGGGUAGAGGAAGACCUAGGACAACUUUGGAAGAGACUCUAGAAAAAAGACUUGCACUUAGAGUACAUGGCGCAAUGGGCGUUCUAGGAUUCAUAUAGCCGACCCCACUUAGUGGGAAAAGGCUUUGUUGUUGUUGUUGUUGUUGUAUUGCUUUGGCUGUUGAAAAGUUAUGCUUUCAAUUGACUCAUAGUAGCUUAAAUGUUAGUUGUUGCAAAAUAUUUUGGCAGCCCAAAACUGAUCAGGGUUUUACUUUAAAUAAAAACCAAGUUUGUUUUCCAAUAUCUAUUGAAAAGUACCCAUUGUACUGUACUAAAUAUUUUAUACACAUAACUUGCAUAUUCCCCCAGUAUCUUUUUCUCUCUGGUCUGAAAUUUUUUGUCAAUAUCUAUGGACUUAUCUCGUAGCUUCCACUUGUUUAACAGUAAAAUAGAACAGUAAAAUAGAUGUCUCUCUCGCCAAACACACACAUGUUUGCAUGUGUUUACACCUUGUAAUGGGACCAUUUCAAGUUGAUGAUCUUGAACCACCCCAUGCAGAGAUGGUUUUCUUUGCUUCACCAUCUGAUUGGUAUAGCACUCCUGUAGCAAAGGCCUGCACCACAAGGAGCACAAUUAUUGUUGAUCGGUUUGUCUUUGGUAUGUAUAUGGGAAGAUAUGUGACAAUUACUUACCUCUCUCUGAUAUCCCAUUUUAUCUGCCUCAUGGAUUUUUAGAAAUGAAGCUUCUAACGUAGCCACACACUGCCAAUCAACUUUGGUCUUAGGAUGUUGUUAUGGAUAGAUUGGGAAUCAUGGUGACUGACUUUAGCUGUAGGCAUAAAAAUAGAAACUUUAUGUAGGUACUAUUAGUUUUACUAUUUUCUUGUCUAUAAUUCAACCCUAUUUUUUCUUAUUCAUAUGAGAAUAAUUCUUAUCGAAAAAAAAUGUGAAUAGAUCUAGUUUUCUUUUCUAUAAUUCUUCGUAUUGAAGUUUUCUUUUCAACUCUAUCGUUUUCUUCAUGUUGAUCCCUUUGCAGACCUAACUGAUAUUUUUGUUUGUUACAUUACGAGUCAUGACAUAUAUCAAGAACUGAAUUUUCCUGCAUGUUGGCUCGUGAUUUCUCUUUUGGGCUCUUUCAGCUGGGCUGCAGCUUCCGGCCAGGUUUCCCUCAAUGCAAUGCUACUCCCAGCUGCUCUCUACUUUUGGCAAAUACCUCAUUUUAUGGCCCUAGCAUACUUGUGCCGUAAUGACUAUGCCGCUGGAGGGUAUGAGCUUCUGGGUCUUUCAUGGUCUUACUUUAACAUUUAUGUCAUCAGUUGAAAAGAUUCAAAUAUUUUGCACCUGGAAAUUGUUUCAGAACAGGAGUUUUAUUUCCUGCCUUUGCUUUCAUGGGCCAUGUAUCUGUUCAUGGAAAGAAUUAAUCAAUAUCCAAUUAUGCCCUAUGAGGUCAAGGCAGAAAGAAUUAUAGUCGACAGAUUUUAUACUUUUUGAGAGCGAAUGGUGUGAGCAGCCGUUUUGUUAUCCAAUUUACUUCCCCUUUUAAAUGAUUAGCAUGAGAUUUUAGGAAUUUGUAGUCAAGCUGAUUGUAGGUUGGAUCUUUGUACGUGUGAUGGUGGUCCACAGAUUAUUGAUGCAGUUCACUUGGCUUCUUCCUCUCUAAUCCUUUUUCGUUUGAUUCAUAUUCAGAUUUAGGAUGUUCUCCCUUGCUGAUGCUUCUGGUCAGAGAACAGCCUCAGUAGCUUUAAGGAAUUGCAUAUACAUGAUCCCUUUGGGGUUCUUGGCCUAUGACUGUAGUCCAAGACUCACAAACCAUCUUUCUUUUCCUAAUCGUGUUUCUAUUUGUAUUUUUGUAUUUCUAUUGGUGGUUGUCUUGUAAAGCUCUUUGAGCAUUUUUGUUUUUCUUCUCUCUUUUCAACCAAUGUUCGAUCAAUCUUAUGUCUUAUUGAAAGAAGGUUUUCCAUCGUAGAGGUGUCAGCAUUUGUCUUCUUUGAAUUGCAAAUAAGUGAUUUAGACUUACAUUUACCAUUGGGAAAAACGCAAGAAAUGUUAUCAUUUUUUUCUUCCACGAAAUAGAUUGUUAUCUGGCUUUCGUGUCUGAUAUGGCUGUUUUCAGAUUGCAUUUUGAGUCUUUAGCUAUUUGCAUUUUCCUAAGACUCUUGAUGGUUUUAACAAAGCUGACGAGUUAUAUUUGUUAUUCAUGGUUUUGGUUGAUUUCAUAUGUCAUUGGUCCUCUCGUACAUUGACUUUAAUUUGUGGUUCCUUCUACCGAUUAUCAAUUGUAUGAUACUGCGGGGACAAUUCUUGAUCAUCGUAGUACGUGAUUGAUUAAUCGGAAAUGUCAUCUUUGUUAUCAUGCAACUCUUCUUGGUAGUAGAAUGACCAACAUGUUCCAUGCUUGAGAUGCAAUCUUUGGCCCUUGAUCACUAAUCAGGGAAUAAUUAAUGUUGGGGAUUACAUCUCAUUCCGCCCGUUUCUUCUGUCUGCAGGGGGUAUGACGUCUGGAUGGUUUUGUCUUGAAUCUACUCUUCUUACUCUCGCGAUAGCUGCAACAUCAUUUUCGUUCUACCGAGACCGUACUACACAUAAAGCAAGGAAGAUGUUUCAUGCCAGCCUUCUUUACCUUCCUGUAUUUAUGUCGGGGAUUAUGUUCCACCGCAUCGUUGAUAAUCAACAAAGCCUUUCUGAAGAGAAUUUAGAGAGUAGCGUUGAGCUUUCAUUGUCCUCACAAGACGGCAAUGUCAAACGGAAGAGUAGGUUGAGGAAUACCUCAGAUGGCUCACAAGUUCGCCCACCUGUAUCAUACGCCUCUAUUGCACCGUUUCCGUUCCUCCCAGUUCCUUCGUAUGCCGAUCCAAGAUAUGUUUCUGGGUCCCUUGUUUUGUACAAUGAAACGUCGAAAGCUGCCCAAUAAAGUAUUUUUGUUCAAAGAGCAAUGUCUUUCCCCAAGCAAACGUCUCCCGGAAGGGUCGAAAGCCUGUAUUCUUUUGCAAAUUGCAAGUUUCUUGUUGCGAAUGUAUUUUUUGCUUUGUAGUGUUGGAGGUUUAGGUGUUUGAGUUGGUAUUGCACUGUUGAUUUAAAGUAUACGAACAAGGUGGCCAUCUGUUCAAUGAUUAUGGAAGGGCAGCUAUUGAUUUUUUGUGGAGAUGAUAUUUACAGGGUGAUUUAUAAUAUGAACGGUUCUGAUCAUAAACACAAAAUUCUAACUCCGCAAUCUUAAGGAGCCAAGAUAUCUGCAUCAACUGCAUGAUCGAGCGGUUGCUGGUUGAAUCACGGGUUUGUGCACUUCUUAGAUCAUUUGAUCGUCGUUUACUAAUUAGGCGAUUGCCCUACAGUUGUUUUUGUGAAGACAAGUCGAGUCGACUUUAUGUUCUUAAGCUUGAGUACAGGCGAUCGCUCUACAAUCGUUUUUGCGUUCACCUUCCAUACCUAUUCAAGUGCAAGUCCAUUAGCAUUUCACAUAUGGGAUUGGAAGACUUCCAAGAACUAACUAGCCACAUAUAUAUAACAGUAAUAAAUGACAUAUCAUUUACUCCAACCGAUAUGCCAAAGAUGACAUGAAAAAGAAGGUUAAGCUGACAUAUCAUUUACUUCAACCGAUAUGCCAAAGAUGACAUGAAAAAGAAGGUUAAGUUGACAUGGACAAAGAGAUGUUAAAUUUGAAGUUGCUUUCAAAUUGGAUUUUUUUUUUUUUUUAUUUUCAAAGGUAUUCCACUUGCUUUACUUUAAAUGAAGUAAUAAAUUAUAUUAUUUUUAAACCAACAACCCAACUUUUAUUAUUUUUGUUUAAAAAAACAUAAAUAAAACAAUAAAUUUUGGCUUAUUGGGUGGAAUGAAAAUAUUAACAGCAUGUCAAAUUGUCAAAUCAAUCAUCAAAUAAAAAUUUGAUGUUUUGAAUUUGAUGUUUUUUUUUAAGAUGCUCAACAUACUAAAACGUGUUUACAGAUUACAUGUGCACCUGUUCAAGUGUGUGUCUACAUUUGGCCACGUGUGACCAUCACUGCUCGGAAUUUGUUUUGGGAAUGGACCAUCACUUUGGUCUUAUUUCUCUUGACUGACUUAUACACUUUGUCAAACGUCUUUGCGUGGUUGGAUGUUGAAAAAGGAAAAACUUUUCAUAAAAUUCCAAGCUAAAAAGUGGCUUUUUCUAUGUAAAACCAACUAGGCCGCUAGAUGUAGAAAAAUGAAGCUCUUUUCAUAAAAUUCCAAGCUAAAAAGUAGCUUUUCUUAUGUAAAACCGAAUGGGAUACAUGUACCGUGUGACAAGAAAAAGGAUAAAAUUCCAAGCUAAAAAGUAGCUUUUUCUAUGUAAAACCGACAGGGUUAAAUGUACCGUGUGAUAGGGAAAAUGAUAUGUAGAAAAAGAAAGCUCUUUUCAUAAAAUUCCAAGCUAAAAAGUAGUUUUUUCCAUGUAAAACCGACAUGGUUAAAUGUACCGUGUGACAUGGAAAGGGAUAUGUAGAAAUAGAAAGCUCUUUUCAUAAAAUUCCAAGCUAAAAAGUAGUUUUUCCUAUGUAAAACCUACUGGGUUAAAUGUACCGUGUUACAGGGUGUUUGUCACUCAUAAUGUCAUGUGUAAAGUACUUUCAAAUUCUUGAGCUCAAUUACUGUUUACUUUUGUUGAAAUUAAAUAUUCAUUAGUACUUGAGUGAAAGAAAGGCAUUAGGCCUAAUCCAAACUUAUUUUAGGUCCAAACAUUUUGUUCAUUUUUUCCUCUCCUGUAGACUGACAUAUAAGUUAUGGAAGAACAUUGUCUACCACUCAAAUUUAAAAGAGAUGAAUCAUGAAAAGUGAUGAAGUUUAUAUUAUUUCAUUUUCAAUGCACAAGUAGCUAAUUUUAAUUAAAAAGCUCUUUUCUAUGCCUUAUUUUAUAAAGGACUUCAAAUUUUUUCUUUAUGUAUGAGAAAUAAUAACCACAAGCUGAUUGGCUCUUAGUUCAACUUAGUUGGCAAUUCUCACAUGAAUAUGUUCACAUAAAUGUAUGAAAGACUGUAAGAAAAUGAAAGAACAGAAAAGAAAUGAUGUUAAAUACUUGGAAAAUAUCCAACUACAAAGUAAUAACUUAAAAGAAAUGAAAAAUACAAUAACUUGAAGUGAUUUGAAAAGAAUUUUCUUAAAGGGAACCGAUCCUACAUGCAAAGUAGCAAAGCUAUAAACAUGAAUACAAGUACAAAUAUGCUAGAUUACAUAAGGAAUUUGGAAUAUUGUAGGCUGCAGAGCUUCAAAGUUUUUAUGAGUUGUGAGUUGUGUGCCCUUUUCUUCUUUCUUUAUGUUCCUAUAUAUAGAACAUACAUUUCUUCCCAUUUAAACCCUUUACUCUUAGUAUAAUUAUGUCUGCUCCUAAUUGUUGAUGUGAAUAGUGAAGGAAGAAAAAAAUUAUUUACAUUGCAACUUGAGCUUCCAUCUCCUCAAAACUACCAAAAUGUCAUUAGAAAGUAGCGUUUUCUCUGUAAAACCGAUUGGGUUAAAUGUACAGUGUGACAGAGUGUUUGUCACCCACAAUGCCACGUGUAAAGUACUUUCAAAUCCUCGAGCUCAGUUACCGUUCACUUAUGUUGAAAUUAAAUAUCCAUUCAUACUUGAGUGAAAUAAAAGCAUUAGGCCUAAUAUAGACCCAAACUUAUUCUGGGUUCAAACAUCUUGUUCAUUUUUUACCUUCCUGUGAACGGGAAAUUAUAGCCAAUUAGAUUCAAUUUGGAGAGUUGGUAAAGAAGAAAACGGGAUUUGAUUUGAAGGUUAGACAAUUAGAUUCAAUUUUAGUUUAUGUAUGGUUGCGAAGAAAGUAUAACAUUACAAGUUACUGGGAAGCUGCAAGGCUAAUUCUUUUGUUUUGAAAUUUCCGUGACUGAUGAGGAAAUCAUCAGAAAAUUUUGGAACAGCAGCCAUGGCGGAAACUGGGUGGGGCUUUGCCGUGGAAGGAGGCGCAAAGGCAUCUAGGCUUUUGUUUCCUUUUAAAUUUUCAUUUUUUUAUUUAUCAAGAGUGAAAUUGAGAAUCAAUUCCUGCUGUAUAAAAGUGGUCGAACGUCUGCAAUUUGUACUUGUAUUUAUGUUUUGGGGAUGAAGUUGAACCAUCACUGUCUGCAAUUUGUUUUGGGGAUGGACCAUCCUUUUUGUCUUUUAUCUCUUGACUCACUACCGUCUAUGUAGGUCUGGAGAUGUAGAAAAGUAAUUUGUGGUAAUUAUCUUUACUAAUGUGUGUAUAAAUAGCACUCUAAAUUACUCAUUCCUCACACCAAUCACCUACUUGAUAUCUAUAUGGCUAGAGUCAUGAGACUUGUUCCACUACUCACCUUUCUUCUAUCCAUUGCGUCUUUUACACUUAGCUUAUGCAAUGGAAACCUGAAUGUGCCUUGCCCAGAAAAUGAGAGACAAACACUUCUUAUGUUCAAGAAAGAUCUCAAUGAUUCUUCAAAUCUGCUUUCCUCUUGGGUUGCUGAAGGCGAUUGUUGCACCUGGACCGGUGUUGCCUGCGACAAUUUAACCGGUCAUGUCCGUGAGCUCCACCUUGCUGCUUAUUAUGAUGAAGUGGCUGGUGAGUACCAUAGGCUGGGUGGUAAGGUAAAUCCUUCUCUACUCAAUUUAAAGCAUCUCACCUACUUGGACUUGAGCUACAAUGAUUUUGGAGGACGACAGUUUCCUAGCUUUCUUGGUUCUCUUAAAGGUUUAAGAUAUCUUAAUCUCUCAGAUGCAAGGUUCGACGGAACCGUUCCUCAUCAGUUGGGAAAUCUCUCGAGCCUGCGUUAUCUGGACCUUUCUGGGAACUAUGGUUCGAAGGUCGAGAAUCUCAAAUGGCUCUCUGGUCUUUCUCAGUUGAAACAUCUUGGCAUGAGUUGGGUAGAUCUUACCGGGGCAUCUCAUUGGUUACAAGUAAACACACUCCCUUCUCUCCUGGUCGAGUUGCAUUUGUCAGGCUGCGAACUUUCUCACAUACCAAGUGGUAUUGCGAACUUGACAAGUCUUAAAGUUCUUGAUCUAUCCUCCAACUAUUUCAACUCUACCAUACCUCAAGUAAACACACUCCCUUCUCUCCUGGUCGAGUUGCAUUUGUCCUUCUGCGAACUUUAUCACAUGCCAAGUGGUAUUGCGAAC